rnacentral:misc_RNA from 1 species
GGGAUUUAUGCUGUUUAACGUAAAAGGAUCGAAUCUGUAUUUCUGGAUAGCGUUAAUCCCUAUCAUUCUAGUACUACUCGUGGGUACAAAACUGCAGCAUGUGAUCGCAACCUUGGCAUUGGAGAGUGCUGGAAUUACUGGCUCAUUCUCAAGGGUCAAGCUAAAACCACGAGACGAACUUUUUUGGUUCAAAAAACCAGAAUUACUUUUGUCCUUGAUUCAUUUUGUCCUUUUCCAGAAUGCAUUUGAGCUAGCUUCAUUUUUUUGGUUCUGG